AUUUUAGGGCUGCACCUGAAGCAUAUGGAAGUUCCCAGGCCAAGGAUCAAAUUUAAGCCACAGCUGGGAGUUCCCGUCCUGGCGCAGUGAUUAACAAAUCUGACUAGGAACCAUGAGGUUGUGGGUUCGAUCCCUGGCCUUGCACAGUGGCCUAAUUGCCUCGACCUGUGUGUGGUGUAGGUCACAGAUGUGGCUUGGAUCCUGUGUUGCUGUGACCCUGGCAUUGGCCAGUGGCUACAGCUCCAAUUCGACCCCUAGCCUGGGAAUCUCCAUGUGCCAUGGGAGAAGCCCUAGAAAAGGCAAAAAGAUUAAAAAAAAAAAAAAAAAUUAAGCCGCAGCUGCUGGUCUCAGCCACAGCUGAGCCACAUCUGUGACCUACCCUGCAGCUCAUAGCAACGCCGGAUUCUUAACCUGAGUGAGGCCAGGGAUCAAGCCUGCAUGCUCAUGGACACUGUGUUGGGUUUUUAACCUCCUGAGCCACAAUAGGAACUCCAAUCUCAUUUAUUCUUGAAAACAUCCUCAGAAAAGAGGUAUAUCACCCUUCUUCUUUCCCAGAUCAGCACAGUGAGUCACAGAAAUUAGGUAACCUAACUAGAACUCAGGCAGCUCGUGAAUGGAAAACCCAGAAUCUGGACCCAGGUUUGCUUGGAUCUAAGACCUCACACUGUUGCACCUUACCACCUACCAGGCACCUCUCCCACCAUUCCUGAAGAAAGAACUUUCUUCCAUUUACAAUUGACCAAAACCUAAGUUACCUCUUCUUAAAUUUUUAUACCAUUUCCAAAAUUGAUGUGUCAUGAAAUGUAAUUCUGCAGGACAUUAAUAGAUAUAAUAAAAGUAAAAAAAAAAAAAAAGUGUUGUACAAGUUUCUUUACUAUAGCUCCUCAUAACCUUUAAUAUGCUUAUAUAUUGUGUAUCUCCAAGCUCAGGACUUAGUGUCAUGUUUCCCUUCCCAAAGAAUUUCUACUUGGGAGAAGAUCUUCUGGGUUUGGGAAACACUUACAGAGAUGGGUUACUGUUGUCCUUUUCUCCCCUUCUGCUAUGGCCUGAAUGUUUAUGUCCUCCCCAAAUUCACAGGCUGGAAUCCAAUGCCCAAUGUGAUGGUAUUAGGAGGUAAAGCCUUGGGGGUGAUUAGGUUGUAUGGGUACAGCCCUCCUGGAUGGGAUUAGUGUUCUUACAGAGGAGCCCUUCCGGAGUUCCCGUUGUGGUGCAGUGGAAAGGAAGCCGACUAGGAACCAUGAGGUUGUGGGUUCGAUCCCUGGCCUCACUCAGUGGGUUAAGGAAGCAGCAUUGCCAUGAGCUGUGGUGUAGGUUGCAGCUGUGGCUUGGAUCCCAAGUUCCUGUAGCUGUGGUAUAUAGGCUGGCAACUGUAGCUCCAAUUCGACCCCAAGCCUGGGAAUCUCCAUAUGCUGCAGGCACGUCCCUAAAAAGCAAAAAAAGCAAAAAAAAAAACAGCCUGAAUGGAUGAACACGCCUUCCUUUUUUGUUGUUGUUGUUUUACAAAUUUUUUUAAACUUAUAAGAUUUCAGGACAAGAAUUUUCAAACAGUAUAUAAGGAUAUAAAAUAAAGAGUAAAAAUCUAUCUAUUCCAACACCCAAUCCCAUUCCCCAGAGGUAACCACUCUUAGAAAUUUCUUAGGUAUCUGCUUCAGAAAUGUUUAUGUGUGUAAGGCAUAUGUAGAAACCUUUUAAAAAUAACACAACCACGAUUAAACUAUAACCAUGAUGUGUUAACUGGCACUUUCUUAAAACUUAAUAAUGUACUUGGGAUUUUCCGUAUCAGCAUGUAGAAUUGCUAAGGCCAAGUUAGAGUCCAAAAAAAGUAAAAGGUGGGUCUAUAACAUGGGAUUACUGCUUUACUAAAGGGUCCCCUAUGUGGGUCACAGGAUGCUUUGUGAAUCAAUGUCAGAACACCUGGCUUCCCUUCCCAGCUCUGUCUAACCUCUACACUUGUGUACAGGAUGGAGGACUUCCUAGGACUUAAUGCACUCACCAGUUGUUGUGAAGAUCGGUAACAAUGAUGAUAAUGACAUCUCAGCCACCACACUUUUUUUUUAACGCUUUGUACUUAUCAAUUUGAUGAAGGCUUACUCUUAUGAAGCCCAUGCUAUUCUUAUUAAUCCCAUUUCCAUACUGAGAGAGCCAUCUGAGACUGAGCACCCGGCAGACAACAAGUACAAAAUAACUGCUUGAAGUUCCAUCAACACAGUAAACAUGACGUCUGUCAGUCUUUGACACAAAGCAUUUCUCACAGGGGCACUAGAAAGCAGGUCCCGUUUUCCCUUCAGAAUAAUGUUGCAAUUGGGGAUUUUGUUUCAAAACCUAACCUUGGCUUCCUAUCUUCCUAUAGAUUCCUGUUGAAAUAAGACCUUGUAAAAAUAAAGAUACAACAAAUCUUAUUUAAAAGAGAAUGAUGUUCCAUGACUGAGAGAUUUUGAGAAAUCAGCCCCUAUAAUCUUACUUUUUUCACUGAUCAAUGAAAUAACACCCAGAAAAUGUGUAGGUCUCUUCUGGGCACAUAUCUUGUUACACUGUCUCAGUCAUGAAACAAUUUUUGAACAUACAUACAUUUGAACUUCAUAUGAUUGCAUAAGGGUCUCACACAGAACCUGCUACAUCACAAAUCUGACAAAAUAUUAGUUCGAGAGCUAGCACGGGCAUCAAAUAUUUAAUUAGAAAUAGCUUUCCCAGACUCCUUAGACUUUAAAAGAUCAUUUGAGAAAUGAUUUAACGGACUCAUUUCUUCGAAAAACUGUCUAGGGAUAAUGGGAAUCAAAAUCUUCUUACUCUCUCAAUAUAUUUUCCUGGGAAAAUCACAGGCCUUCAACAUCAGUCCACCCACUGGGUUUGUUCCCCCCACAUAGUUGCAGAAGUGUCUCUACAGUUUGGAACAUCACUCAGGGCCUUAGCUUCAUUUGAGGUACCCAGCUUUUACUGAUCCUCCUGCCAAUUCCCCUCUUUUCGUCCCUUGGCCUGCUUCCCCAACAGGGAAAGCCUUGAAGAUGAGGUAAGUCACAGAGGGGCCAGCUGAAAGAAGGAAGAGGAGAGACCCGCCUUCUCUUAAUGUGGUUGCAGUUGAUUGGAUGCUAUGCAUUUAACUCUAAGGGCAUAAAAAAAAAAAAAAAAAAAAAAAAA
ensembl:lncRNA